CGCGGUGUGGAAGCAGCAUCUCAAAGCACCUCAUCAGGGGGAGAAAGUGCACACCCUCACUACUAAUGAGCAAUGAGCUCCGUCAGCCAGUUACCCAUUCUGGGCUUCCACGCGCUGCUGCAAGCCAAGGGUGAGUUCCCAGCGGCACCAGACCCAUUCACACCCCCAACCCCCCAAGCUGAGGCUGCCCGUGGCCCCAUCCAUGGCCUUGGGGACCUCGACGGAUGGGGCACGCGCAACUCCUGCACCCUCCCAACCGCUCCGUAUACCGCCGCUCCCUCACUCCCAGCACGAGGCGGGGCGGGGCCGCCGUCAUUAGCAUACACCGCAGAGCAUGCCGGGUAACUCGCCCUACUCUAAAAGGGUUCCGGAACCAGAGCUGUAUAUAGGCACUUCCACAAAGUGCGUAAACGUCCGGAGGAAGCUCACCGUCGAGGCCACGCACUGGGUGUCCGUCACCCGCGCUUCUCCGCCUCGGGGAAGGUCUGAGGGAAGGGCCAUGAGGCGGCUCCAGCAGAGCCCCGCCCGCGUGGGUGGGUGAGCCACCAGCAAGGGGGGGCGCCGCGCGGGCCGGCCUGGGCAGGAGAAGCCCGAACGGCUGCGGAGCUGAUCUGAGCCGGGGCGGAUGCUCGUGGCCCCGCGGUGCUUUGAGACAGACUCACGGCCGGCGUGCUGAGUCCAAUGGGUGAGGUGGGGCAGCGCCCCACAACCUAAUUCAGACUACUCUCCGCCGGACAACUUUUUCAUGCUUGGGGUCGGAAGGGACCGUGAGAGCCGACCCACUGCCUGCACCGAGCGGUGCGACACCCACAGCUCCAGCAGCGCUCACAAACCUCGAUGGCUGCAGGGAUGGCGCACCACCACCACCUCUCUGGGCAACCUGUGCCACUGCCUCACCGCCCUUGUUGGAAAACACACCUCCCCUCUAUCCAGCCUAAAUCCCCCUCUCUCCCUGUGA
rnacentral:lncRNA from 1 species